rnacentral:rRNA from 1 species
UAAUACCGCAUAAUAGCUUCGGCUCAAAGAGGGGGACCUUCGGGCCUCUCGCGUCAGGAUAUGCCCAGGUGGGAUUAGCUAGUUGGUGAGGUAAUGGCUCACCAAGGCGACGAUCCCUAGCUGGUCUGAGAGGAUGAUCAGCCACACUGGAACUGAGACACGGUCCAGACUCCUACGGGAGGCAGCAGUGGGGAAUAUUGCACAAUGGGCGCAAGCCUGAUGCAGCCAUGCCGCGUGUGUGAAGAAGGCCUUCGGGUUGUAAAGCACUUUCAGUCGUGAGGAAGGCAGUGUAGUUAAUAGCUGCAUCAUUUGACGUUAGCUACAGAAGAAGCACCGGCUAACUCCGUGCCAGCAGCCGCGGUAAUACGGAGGGUGCGAGCGUUAAUCGGAAUUACUGGGCGUAAAGCGCAUGCAGGUGGUUAGUUAAGUCAGAUGUGAAAGCCCGGGGCUCAACCUCGGAACUGCAUUUGAAACUGGCUGACUAGAGUACUGUAGAGGGGGGUAGAAUUUCAGGUG